UACGGAGGAGGCAAGCGUUAUCCGGAAUUAUUGGGCGUAAAGCGUCCGUAGGUGGUUGGCCAAGUCUGCUGUCAAAGGGUGGGGCUUAACCUCAUAAAGGCAGUGGAAACUGGCGAGCUAGAGAGCGGUAGGGGUAGGGGGAAUUCCCAGUGUAGCGGUGAAAUGCGUAAGGAUUGGGAAGAACAUCGGUGGCGAAAGCGCCCUGCUGGGCCUGCACUGACACUGAGGGACGAAAGCUAGGGGAGCGAAAGGG
rnacentral:rRNA from 1 species